GAGUUAGAUUUUUUUUUUUUUUAGAGUGCAAUGCAAAACCAUUGGAAGGUUUUAAGCAGGGGAGUACACAAUCUGAUUUCCUUUGGACAAAGUUCACUGUGGCUGUGGGAAAGAGAUUAGAGUGGACGACAGGAAACCAGUAGGAGGCUAUCGCAGUCAUCCAGCUGAGGAAAGAUGACUUGACACGACUUCAGAAGCCUCCUGAAUCCUAUUCUGGCCCAUCGUGGCAUGGUCAGCAGAUGAGAAACAGAUGGACUGGUGUGUGGUGGGAGGAAGCUGUCCUGGUCGAGCUCUGCUUCAGGCCAGUCCUUUCUGAGAUUGGAGAAGUGAGAAGAGGAGCAGAGAGACCAGCUGGGAGCUGCUGUAGUAACCCAGGUGAGGGAGAUGGUGGUCUGGACCAGUGCUUCGCAUGGAGGUGGACAGAAGUGAUAUAACUGAUUUAAGUCAACCAGCUGCUUGAUCCAAAUAAUGCCAAAUGAGUUUAUUGCCAUCUCUUCAUAUUUUACAACCAGAUCACUUCUGCAUAAAACCACAUGGAAGAAUAAGAAGGGAAAAACAAUCAAGCAAUAAACUGUUCAUCUGAAAAUAGUUAAAUUCUCCAACAGUUGAUUUUAAAAUAUUUUCCUAAAAUCUAUUAAGAUUUGUUCAAAGUAAUUCUUCUAUGGAGGCACAUCUCUGGACUGAAACAACCAGCCUUUGCCUUUGGUGUGGUCCUGUUUCAGUCAAAAUGGCUAACAGGCUAUGAAGAAAAUCAAAUUCCAAGUUACUCAAAUGUGGAGAAAAUCUGGAGGUCUGGUAUGGGCAUCUUUUCAAAAUGUUUUAAUUACACAUUGAUUUACAAAUGACAUUGUCUAGUAUGGUAGUUUUAAAAAAAUCAUCAUUUUUAAACAUCUGCCAAAUUUUAAAUGGUAGUUUUUCAUGAAAGUACAAAGAAAACUUCAUCCACGAUCACGAAAUUUUCCAACUCAUAUAUCCUGAUCAAAACAAAGACUUUCUAUGGACAAUUGUUGAACCACGCCUGACCUUGGACCCUGUGCUAUCUACUCUUCUCAGUGUCAUUCUCUAUCUAGUUUGGCUUUUCCAAGUUUAAUCACUAAGAUAUUCAGAUAUUAUUACAAAAUAUUAUUACAAGCCCUUUAAUUACCUUGAUAAUAUUACUGGCAAUAUUAAAAACUUUUAGCAGUAU
rnacentral:lncRNA from 1 species